AUUGAACGCUGGCGGCAGGCUUAACACAUGCAAGUCGAGCGAGCGGCGGACGGGUGAGUAAUGUCUGGGCAACUGCCUGAUGGAGGGGGAUAACUACUGGAAACGGUAGCUACUACCGCAUACCAUCAGAUGUGCCCAGAUGGGAUUAGCUAGUAGGUGGGGUAAUGGCUCACCAAGGCGACGAUCCCUAGCUGGUCUGAGAGGCUGACCAGCCACACUGGAACGGAGACACGGUCCAGACUCCUACGGGAGGCAGCAGUGGGGAAUGUUGGACAAUGGGGGAAAGCCUGAUGCGGCCAUGCCGCGUGUGUGAAGAAGGCCUUCGGGUUGUAAAGCACUUUCAGCGAGGAGGCGUUACUCGCAGAAGAAGCACCGGCUAACUACGUGCCAGCCGCCGCGGUAAUAC
rnacentral:rRNA from 1 species